UGCAGUUCUUACACCGAUUGCCUUGAGAACGUUUUAUGACUGGUUUCACAUGUACAACGCCCAGGAUUUCAGCCAGCGUCUGGGAGUUAAUGGAUUAAAGGAAUUAAAGAUAGUUUAAAAGACUGUCUAGAAGGGAGGCAGCUGUAUUGGGUAGCUAUUUGUGGGAGUAGAUCCCUGACAAGUUGUGUGAGGAAGUUAAGCCUCCUUGGAUUUCACUAGAAGAUGCUAACUUCAAGUGGACUGUUUUCACUAGUCAGUCUUGAUUAUACAAUUUGAGGAGCAGCGUGGGAGAAAUAUGCAUAUCUGUAUGAACGAUUGACAUACAUAGUACUAAAACCCAUGGGGCCGAGAGGGAGUCCUCUCCAGUGAAACUGGGAUCGGCGCAAAGAAUUUAGGAAAAUAUCAUCAGACGUAUCAGCCGCUGGUGUUUACCUUCAGUCUCAGGAAUUUGUGUCCUUCUCCCUUCAUCUCAAGUUGCUAAGUUUGUUUCCAGAGAAAGAGCAAGCUGCCUGCCUUGUGGACCUUUUCUACCCUGAGCAGCCACAGAAAGGAAAAGCUGUCUCAUAGCCCAGACUGGUCUAAUCUCUGAAAGUUCUGGAGAUGUCAUUAAGUUAAUCAUUUAACCACUGUAAA